rnacentral:rRNA from 1 species
GGUAAACUAAAUUUAGCUGUCUCCUAAGAAGCCAUAAAAAUUUACCUGUUAGUGAAGAGGCUAACAUAAAAAUAAAAGACAAGAAGACCCUAUAGAGCUUCCCUUUAACCUUAUCCCCAAGGCUACAAGGUUUUGUUGGGGCGACAAGGGAAAAUAAAAAACUUCCCUCAUUUUAAGGCCUACUAGCCUUUAUCACUACCCUUUUAAAAGGAUAAGAAAAAGCUACCUUAGGGAUAACAGGCUAAUUCCCCCUAAGAGCUCAAAUCGACGGGGGAGCUUGGCACCUCGAUGUUGGCUUAAGGUCCCUAUAUUGCGCAGAAGUAAUAAAAGGUGGUUUGUUCAACCAAUAAAUCCUU